AAAUGAAACUGGUGGGAAUUUAUUUUGAAUAAUUGAAAUCGUGGUUUCCGAAAUUCUUUCACUUUCUCUUCAACUGUCGUUGUAUAGUAAUAAGCUCUCUCUCACUCUCAAAAGACAAAAAAAAAAAAGUUAUUUGGUUUUCCAAAUUUAUUUAUCAUUUUUCUCUUUGUUUCUAAGAGGGUCUGCCGCGACGUCGCGCGUCGGCUGAACCCGUGCGAAUUGGACGAAUUGCUAGUCGAUGGUAAUUAAAAAGAAAAAAUUAAAGUUGUUGGAAAAAGAAAAAAAUUGAGAUAAUUUAAUAAUGGGAUUAAAUGAUCAUCGAAGUCUGAGAUUAGAUCUCACAAUUAAUUUGGCGAGUUUCAGCCAAUUUCUCGAUCGAGAUGGCGGCGGUAAAACGCCUCGUGGCGAGGUGGUACUACUGCAUUUGGUAAGAUGGAGAUCGUCGAUCGAAGAUGACUUAUUGGAAAAUUUGAGGAGGAAAUUUUUUGCCGAUUACGAUUACCAUUGCGAUGACGACCCUUCGAACGAUGAGUUUCGGAGGAAUAUAAUUGGGAAAUACCCGAAGUUGAAGAUCGCUAAUGAGGAUAUUAGUAGGAGGAAAAUAUACUUGGAGGAAAUUUUUGGAAUACCCAGGAAAACGACGAAAGAAAAUUUUAAUUUCGGAUAUUCUUACGACUACGAUGACUUCGACGACGUUCACCCACGUCUUCCACGUCACGAACGUUCUUCGAAGAUUUUCAUAAGGACGAAAGAAAAUCUUUGGAAAUUUCACACGAUCUUACUGGAAACACUACUUCCUACGAAUAAUAUCCUACUUCCUGGCGUGGCCGUUUCAUGCGGCGAAUGCAGCAGCAGCGGGACCAGCGAUAUAACCGAACCCGGUUCACCCUGUAGUACGAGUAGCGACGAGGGUCUCGCCGGUAUUCGAACAACCGGCUCCGGUAAUCAACACAAACUGGCGCCCCCCACGCCACCCCCCAUCAGGGGGGCGCAAUGGCCUUGGACACCUCCCUUAGCCGCCACGGCCUGUUCUACCUUGAAGAAAAUUAAGGGUGAACCGGAAGCUGGCACCCUACCAAAGGCCGGAGCCGCGGAUCCAACGACCAGAGGAAAGACUCAUCACAAUCAGCACCUUCAUUUACACGACGGGACGAACGGAGGAAUGCCAUGCACGCAGGGAAAAAUCACGGAAUAUUUCAAAACCCAAAUCAAACCGCAGCAAAUCAAGGUGAAGAAAUCCUUGGACAUGUCGAUGAUGGUCGCCAAAAGUUCACCGGAAUUUCGACGUCCACCGACCGUUCAAAGGACCCACAAGGGAGGACUCGCCAAAUACCUCGGGACCGUACCUCCGAACGGAAGGACGAACGACUGGGAAGUUCGCACCAUGACUACGUCACCACCGCCUAUGAAGAAGCUACCGGUUGCCGCGCCGAGAGCGGUGCACAAUAAUAAUAACAACAAUAAUCCGAACAACCAUAACAAUAAUAAUAACAAGAUAGAGAAGCUCCAGAAUCCAGUGCCUAGUCUACCUACUUCCACCAACGUUCUGAAUUCACUGCCAGCGGUUAAAUUAUCAUCACUGAGACUACCGUCGGAUGUUAGUCCCGAUCCGAAACCCGAUCCUCAGGGGACGGUGAAGACUUCCAUAGACGGUGUGCAAAUAGGUGUCGAUUUUAGAGACAACGUAUUCGCUAAACCAACCGUCAAUGAAAAUAAUAAUUUAACAUCCACCAUCGUACCGACAAGAUCUCAAAACGAAUUGCACCUGUCGAGGCUAUCGCCUACCGUCGAAUCGGCUGAUCUUCAGAACAACGUUUCUACGAGGGCCGACGAAGAACCCGAACAACAAUUGUCACCCAUUUUGUCAGCUCCGACAACCAUCAGAUUUCCGGCACAAGCACCGGGGAAAAAUAGACCACAGACAACGGAUACUGGCAUCUGCAGGUGGGACCGAUGCGAUGCCAGAUUUGAAUCCAGCAGCGGUCUUCUCGAACAUUUACAGGUCGCUCACAUCAAUACGCAGACGGGUGGCGAUAAUUUUAUCUGUCAUUGGCAAGGGUGUAAAGUACAAGGAAGAACGUCGUGCUCUCGUCGGUGGUUGGAGAGACACGUUUUGUCGCAUGGUGGAAACAAACCGUUCAGAUGUAUCGUGGAUGGAUGCGGUAGCAGAUUUAGCUCACAGAUUACAUUGGAACGACAUGUCAACGGUCACUUCAAUCAACCUGAAACCAGCAGCAGCAGCAGUAGAAAAAGUUGUGAAACUGGUGGAAAAUUGGUUAGAAGAAAUGGCAAACGUCUCAGAUACAGGCGACAGCCCUGGUCCGCGAGAUUAUUCGACUUUGUCGAUACCGGUGUUAUGGAAGGACUGCAUCAUCGGUUGUUAGAACUUGCCCGGACUCGUACACAAGGCCGAUUAGCGGAAACACCAGGCGAUGCAAUGGCGCUAACUAGUCAAGUCUUAGCUCGAAGGGUAGAAAUGGAUGGAAAGACUAAAGUGUUGUUAAGAUGGUACCCACAAGACAUAGCGCCGGACGAAUGGGUGCUAGAAUCAGAGGUCCAGCCUACGAAACACGUGAGAAUAUGCAGUGUCGCAGCUACUUCUCCGGACGAAGUAAACAACGCUCUUUAUCCAGCAAUGAACGGUCGAAUGCCCCCUCAGACUCGAAUAAAACAACGCCGAAAACCGAUUAAAAAUUCGUGAUACCAAUAAAUUGUUGCAUGAUGGUAAAACAAAAAGAAGAAGACGAAGAAAAGAAGAAAAAUUAAAGUAAAAACAAAACGGAAGAUAACGAAUCUAAUGGAGAAAAAUUUGUCCCCUAGGUUGCGAGAAUCUUAUAAAAGCCACAGGCCUCGCACGGGGCUAUCUUAACAGAGUUUUUUGCACUCCUGAUGAUUAGUUGGAGGCCGAAUAUAGAAAAAAAAAACAAACAAAGCAAAAGACAGCGGACAACAAUCCAUAAUGUGAGUUGAACAAUGAGGUAUAAGGUACUUUUAAUUUAUUUAGCUUAAUCAAUGAUAAAAACACUAGAAUAAUUAUUAAUUUUAGUAUGUUUAUAAUUUCUUAUUGUUCACGACGCGAUGAUCGACUCCAGAAAAGCCGGGUCGACCAAAAGUGCCUCACCAUGGAUGUUUCCCUAACUUGUAAAAUCUAUUGAAUAACGAUUUUCAACUAAUUAAGUAUUAUCUGUUAGUUAACCAUUUAAGGAGGUGAUCACUCUGGUGGCCUUACGAAAAUCAAUUAAUAUCUAAAUCGGUCUUGGCAUUUCUGGACUUGAGCUCGGAACAAACUUCUCAAUGGCAACGUGAGUUCGAAAAUUACAUAUUAAAAGAGCGACGUUAAUCGUAUGAACGCGGGUUGAGAAAAUAAUUUUGGGUUGGCCGGCGUUUAAGUACAUCAAUCGGGCUGAAAUCCUGACGCAUUAAAAAUUAUACCAACGAAAUAAUAGAUGGGCGCGAAUCGGUUAUUAAUCGCCAACGGCCGACUCGAUCUCGAAUGUUUUCUAGAAAAACACCGUAUAUGGACUUGAAUUUGGAUCACUCGUUCGAUGGUUUAUAGUUGAAUGUAUUUUUCGCGCGAAAUUCAUUUUUCCCUUUCGACGAGUGGUGUAGGUAUAGUUGAUAAAUAUUGUACAUUAGAGAAAACUUGGAGAGAAUCGAAGUGAUGAUGAUAUAGAUAAAGAAUAAGACAAAAAAAAAACAAGGAAAAGAAAAGUAAAGGGGAGAAUAAUACACAACAGCUAAGAAUCACUGCCAAUAUGUGUAAUUAACAAUCUUAGGCUUAUUGAUAAUUAAAAGUUUAAUUGUAUGUAUUCUGGUAGAUCUAUAGCCGUCUAGUUAUAUCUGCGUACACGCAUGUUUUAUUAUUACUAUUAUUAUUCACAUUAUCAUCAUUAUUAUUAUCAUCAUCGUCAUUAUUAUUAUUAUUAUUAUUAUUAUUCCUUUGAAUGGCACUUGAUCAAUCAUUCAAUCAAUCAAUCGGUGUGACUAGUCUAUGUAACGUCAUUAUUUACCUAAUCGUUAGAGAUUUCCUGCUCUUAAAUAUGAAUUAUUCAACUUAAUCGUAUUGAAACUUAGCGAUGGAUGGAGAACGGAAAUAAAUCUACCUCCGUCGUUUUUAAUCUUUCCAUAUUAAUGUGCAAAUUAUCGGAGAAUGAAAAAAAAAA
rnacentral:misc_RNA from 1 species